CACGUGUGCACCACGAGUGACACACGUGUGUAACACGGGACCAAGUUUCAGUUGAAUUUGAGGAAAAGCGUUAGGGUUGCAUACUUAGAAUUGUAUGAAUUUUUAAUUCGUUGGUACUUGUUU